GUGCGGUGGCUCACGCCUGUAAUCCCAGCACUUUGGGAGGCUGAGGCGGGUGGAUCACUUGAGGUCAGGAGUUCAAGAUCAGCCUGGCCAACAUGGUGAAACCCCGUCUCUACUAAAAUACAAAAAUUAGCUGGGCGUGGUGGCAGGCGCCUGUAAUCCCAGCUACUUGAGAGGCUAAGGCCCGAGAAUCGCUUGAACCUGGGAGGCGGAGGUUGCAGUGAGCCAAGAUGGCGCCACUGUACUGCAGACUGAGUGACAGAGCAACACUCCGUCUCAAAAAAACAAAAAAAAACCCAACCAAACGGAUUUUCACUGAACACUGAAAGCAUAGAGAAGAGGAAAAAAAAAAAAGAUGAAAGGGAGGAGAUCCUUUUGAAGCAUUUAAAAAAUAAGCUGCUCGCUUACCUUGUGAUCUGUUCUUGGAUGGCUUCCGUAUUGGCCUCUGCAAAAAGGUACAGCAUGGUGCAACUGAAGUAGUGAGUGUGGCUAUUUGGGUACCGGAGCUGAUUUGCAAUUGCAUUCAAAAAGAGAUAGCGACCUAGAAAUUAAGAAACCUUGACUUAGGACUUAGUCUGAAAGGCCAAUAUGGGAAGACAGUUCUAACUGGCUAGGGUUUAGGUUUCUGACAGUGGCUUUCAAAUUAAUCUUUGGUUUAAAGCAGUGGUUCUUGGGACCCCAAAGAGUUCUCAUUUCUGUGUGUUUUAUUUCAGAAUUUUCCACAUUAGAAAUUAGAUUUUAAAAAUAUUCAUUUUUAAAAAGACCCACUAUGUGCUAAUGUAAGAAACAUGAACUAUUUUCUGGUGACACUCAUCACUAAGUCUUUCUACAUUUUGCAGAUCUCUAAGUCUUGCUUAAUAAAAGACAGCUGGAUCCUCA
rnacentral:antisense_RNA from 1 species